UGAGGAAUAUUGGUCAAUGGGCGAGAGCCUGAACCAGCCAAGUAGCGUGCAGGAAGACGGCCCUAUGGGUUGUAAACUGCUUAUAUGUGGGGAUAAAGUGCGUGACGUGUCAUGCAUUGCAGGUACCACAUGAAUAAGGACCGGCUAAUUCCGUGCCAGCAGCCGCGGUAAUACGGAAGGUUCGGGCGUUAUCCGGAUUUAUUGGGUUUAAAGGGAGCGUAGGCCGUUUGGUAAGCGUGUUGUGAAAUGUAGGAGCUCAACUUCUAGAUUGCAGCGCGAACUGUCAGACUUGAGUGCGCACAACGUAGGCGGAAUUCAUGGUGUGGCGGUGAAAUGCUUAGAUAUCAUGAAGAACUCCGAUUGCGAAGGCAGCUUACGGGAGCGCAACUGACGCUGAAGCUCGAAGGUGCGGGUAUCGAACAGG
rnacentral:rRNA from 1 species